rnacentral:lncRNA from 1 species
CCAAAUGUAGUAUAUUUUUGAGGAUCCAACACGGGUGCGACAACAUUUUUAGAGAGUCUGAGCAAGAUAAAGUUCUUUACAUGUUUGUCCUGUUAACAAUUUAUAUAUUUUCUAAACUAGAUUCUAUAGUAAAAUCUCGAGUUUAUGAAACAGGUUGGGAAUCCAAAUUUUGUGUUUGAAGGCAAAACUAUACAAAGAAUGGAACUUUUGGUACUAACCACAUUGAAGUGGAGAAUGCUAGCUUAUACACCUUGCACAUACAUCGAUUACUUUGUAAGAAAGAUGAAUGACGAUCAAUCCCAUCAGAAUGUUUUGUGAUUAAUCCAAUUCAUGAUUAUUGAAUCCUGCAAUAGUAUCACCAUCACAUGAGGAGGAGGUGUGGCGCCACUUAUAGCACUUGGACGAACUAAUGAUGAGGUGAAUCUUUGUGCAAUAGAACUUCUAUAUGAUAUAUAUAAAUGCUUUCCUAUGCCUGCUUGGUUGUUGCUCUUUUUCAACUUUCCGUAACUUGUGAAGGCCUAAUUUCUUCCUCAAAUUGUUAUUGAAUUGGGUCCUUGUAUAUCUUAAAUUCAUGUGUAACUUAGCUUACCAUUAGUUGGUGAACUCUUAUUCUAUUUUCCUGGAAACUUUAGAUGAAGUUAGUCGGCUCUUCGAACUUAAAAGAAAGAAUUAACCGGCAUGUCCAGUGAUGGCAACCUGUCCACACUUGGAGAGUAAAUUUAGGAUAAUAAUUUUAACCUUUUAAUUAGUUUGUUCUAGGCUUAAACUUGUCCACACAAGCUUCAUCACAAUAAAUAAAAUAUAGUUCCUUCCAUGGCAUGAUGGAUACUGAAGCUUUCACUAAUUCCACCUUAAAGGUUCUAAAUAAUCAAGUCACUAAAUCUGCAAGUAGGUAGUAGUUUUAAUAACGUCUUCCACAUAAUUUCUGGGUCAUUCAUAUAAUCUCUGAAUAUAUUGUAUUGUUGAAAUAUGCCAUAUUUAGGAUGUAGCAUCUUUUAGACAUUUGUUUAUGUACCUGCAAGUGGUUUUACCUGGCAGUGCAAUGUCAAUGAUGCCUUACGCAUUUAUACAGAGAAAUUUAUACAUGUCAUCCUUUUCUGGAACAUAAAACUAAUAUGUGAAGCAAUAGUUCUGUUGAUUGGCAUGUAAAUGACAAAUGCAAGUACUCUCAAUCAUAUAAGUUUCCUGCUUUCCGAACUAUGAGUGAGAAAUAAGCACAAGUAUAAUUAUACUCAUGUUAUUAUUCGUUUAUGAUGCAACACCUUCUAAGAAAUUCGUUUGCUCUUUUCAGGAAAGCCUCUAAAAUAGCUACCAACUAUUUUUAGAGGCUACACAAUCUUCAAUAAGUAUUUUUUGCCAAAACAUAACAAGUAAUGAAUUUAGACGAGACUACUAUGUGAAUACAUAUGCUUCAGAGGAAAGAAUAUAACACUAAGAAACAAUAUUUGUGGCCAGAGAAACAAACGGGAGAAGAUCACAAAUGUUAAAAAUUGCAUCCGCUGAAAGUAAUCUAGAAUGUAUGUACAUGUAGUUUUGCUUUUCCUAAAAAAAAAUUGUUGAUGUCAUUUGAAGGCCUGAAAAUUCAGUGCUUGUAAAGUGCAUAGAGACAAAAGAUGGUCUCUUUGGUAUCAUUGAAGUAACGGCUACUUUUUGCUACUUAUUCGUGUAUAUGAAUUUCAGUUGUCCUACACUCAUCUAGGUUCAGUGCAAUAGCUUGCUCUUAUGAAACUUAUAAAGCUAAAUUGUUGGGCCCAUGCGCAGCACGGGCAAUGAAUCAUCUAGUACCUCAAGAUGAAUUAGCACAGGCAGGGCUCUCCGAUGAAGACAUUUUUGCUGGAAGAGUGACUGAUGAGUAGAGGAUCUUUACGAAGAAGCAAAUUCAGAGGGCAAGGAAAUUCUUUUAUGAGGUAGAAAAAGGUGUCAUAGAACUGAGCUCUGUCAGUAGAUGGCCGGUAAGUAGUCAUAAAGUUACAGUUGAUUGUAUGUAUCUGCCACUUUUUCUUUUAUUGUUAAUUGUUAUGGUAGUGAGGUAAAAAACAAUAUGAACUUAAGUUUUUUAUAGCGACACAUUCCAUCCUCCAUCACAUUGUUAUGCAAAACAAAAUAGGCUUCAGUUCAAAAAUAGUUUCCUCUCAUUUGGCUAUAGUUAAUAUGGACUAAUCGUCAUACUAGUAGACAUUGAAAGGUAUCAUAGUUUUCGAUUUCUAGUUCUUAAAUCCUCUAAAUCAUAUGUUCCUUCAUCACAGAGGAGAGGAAAAAGAGCUUGAACAACGUUCAUCAUAAACUGAAGGUAUGUUCUGUGUCUAAGAGCACAAACUGUUUUAGUUUACCACUCUUGUUCUGUUUAAGCUGUAUAAGCCCACUAAAUGUUUCUAUUAAAAAGGUCUUUAUUAUUUUUAUAGAAUGAAAAAAUGAUUAAAUUGGUCCUUAAUGUGUGGUAGUUGGAUUAUAUUAAUCCUUCAUAUAUUUAUAUGGUGUAACUUUCAUGAGAUGGUAGGUCUGUGUAUACUCUUACCUUCUUAAACUUCACUUAUGGUCAUAGAAUUGUAGAAAAGUGAUUAUUUUAGUCCUAAACAGUCUCAUUUUAUCUUCUUAUAAAGAAAGAAAUCUUAACUCAAAAAAUCUGCUAGAAUACGUGAAUCUGCAAUCUGAACAGGCAC